CAGAAUUCCAAGACUCAGGAAUCUCAAUCCAUUCCAAGUAAAUGUGUUAAAUCCUCUCAGACAUCCUAUAGUGAAACUUCAAAAUUCCAAAGACAAAAAUGAUAUUUUUAAAGCAGCCAGACAAAAAGAAGAGAUAAUCUUCAAAAGAAUGGCAAUAAGAUUGAGAGCAAAGUUUUUAGUUCCAACGAUGGCAGCCAGAAGACAUGGAAUAGUGCCUUCACAGUGUGGAGACGCACUUCCAGUCGUCCAGAACUGUGUACUGCACAAAACUGUGUAUGCAGCAGGAGCAAAAACGAAACAAAGGUACAUUCAGAUACGUGUGGUUGGUGGCAAACCAGCAGACCUUUCCCAGGGGAGAUCGCAGGAGAGUGCAAGAUGCAAGAAGGAGUGGUGGGCAAAGGAGCUGAUAGACACGCAUGUAAAACUCACACGGAUACCUUUCAUUGAACAGAAGAUUUUAAUUUUAAGGUGGUCAACUGUAUCAACAUUUUCCUGUGGCUUUUCUUGGGGGUUUAUUUCAAAAGUUCUUGUGUAUCCCCAAAGUCAUGAAGAUAUCCUAUUAUAUUUUCUUCUAAAUGUG
rnacentral:lncRNA from 1 species